AGAGUUUGAUCCUGGCUCAGGAUGAACGCUAGCGGCAGGCUUAACACAUGCAAGUCGAGGGGCAGCGGGGAGGAAGCUUGCUUUCUCCGCCGGCGACCGGCGCACGGGUGAGUAACACGUAUGCAACCUGCCCCUGUCAGGGGGACAACCCGCCGAAAGGCGGGCUAAACCCGCGUACAUGCCACCGGGGCAUCCCGGAGGCAGGAAAGGCUUCGGCCGGACAGGGAUGGGCAUGCGGCGCAUUAGGCAGUAGGCGGGGUAACGGCCCACCUAACCGACGAUGCGUAGGGGUUCUGAGAGGAAGGUCCCCCACACUGGUACUGAGACACGGACCAGACUCCUACGGGAGGCAGCAGUGAGGAAUAUUGGUCAAUGGUCGGGAGACUGAACCAGCCAAGCCGCGUGAGGGAGGAAGGUACAGAGUAUCGUAAACCUCUUUUGUCAGGGAACAAAGGCGGGGACGUGUCCCCGGAUGAGUGUACCUGAAGAAAAAGCAUCGGCUAACUCCGUGCCAGCAGCCGCGGUAAUACGGAGGAUGCGAGCGUUAUCCGGAUUUAUUGGGUUUAAAGGGUGCGCAGGCGGUCUGUUAAGUCAGCGGUCAAAGCCCGGGGCUCAACCCCGGCCCGCCGUUGAAACUGGCAGUCUCGAGUUGGAGAGAAGUAUGCGGAAUGCGCGGUGUAGCGGUGAAAUGCAUAGAUAUCGCGCAGAACUCCGAUUGCGAAGGCAGCAUGCCGGCUCCACACUGACGCUGAGGCACGAAAGCGUGGGUAUCGAACAGGAUUAGAUACCCUGGUAGUCCACGCAGUAAACGAUGAAUGCUGGCUGUCCGGGGGGAUUGACCCCUGGGUGGCGAAGCGAAAGCGAUAAGCAUUCCACCUGGGGAGUACGCCGGCAACGGUGAAACUCAAAGGAAUUGACGGGGGCCCGCACAAACGGAGGAACAUGUGGUUUAAUUCGAUGAUACGCGAGGAACCUUACCCGGGCUCAAACGGGGAGUGACUCAGGCAGAGACGCCUGUUUCCCACGGGACACUCCCCGAGGUGCUGCAUGGUUGUCGUCAGCUCGUGCCGUGAGGUGUCGGCUUAAGUGCCAUAACGAGCGCAACCCCCGCGUGCAGUUGCUAACAGAUAACGCUGAGGACUCUACACGGACUGCCGGCGCAAGCCGCGAGGAAGGCGGGGAUGACGUCAAAUCAGCACGGCCCUUACGUCCGGGGCGACACACGUGUUACAAUGGGUGGUACAGCGGGAAGCCAGGCGGCGACGCCGAGCGGAACCCGAAAUCCACUCUCAGUUCGGAUCGGAGUCUGCAACCCGACUCCGUGAAGCUGGAUUCGCUAGUAAUCGCGCAUCAGCCAUGGCGCGGUGAAUACGAUGCCGGGCCUUGCACACACCGCCCGUCAAG
rnacentral:rRNA from 1 species